rnacentral:rRNA from 1 species
CAGCGCCGCGGUAAUACGAAGGGUGCAAGCGUUAAUCGGAAUUACUGGGCGUAAAGCGUGCGUAGGCGGUUUGUUAAGUCUGCUGUGAAAUCCCCGGGCUCAACCUGGGAAUGGCAGUGGAUACUGGCAAGCUAGAGUGUGUCAGAGGAUGGUGGAAUUCCCGGUGUAGCGGUGAAAUGCGUAGAGAUCGGGAGGAACAUCAGUGGCGAAGGCGGCCAUCUGGGACAACACUGACACUGAGGCACGAAAGCGUGGGGAGCAAACAGGAUUAGAUACCCGUGUAGUCCCUGUCUCUUAUACA